CAUUUGUUUUUAUUUUUUUUUUUAAUUUGGGUAGGUGUUUUUUUAGAUCUAUCACAAUAAGUUAUCAUAUUCUGAAUUGAAAACAUCCAGAGGUCAAAUAAUUGUAUAACUUUUAGCAAUUAAAACUAUAGAUAAAUGUGAAAAAUAUAAAUUAACGAUACAAAAAAAUUUUGUAAUAGUAUUUUAGAAAAAAACAAGAUGCUGGGAAGGUGUAGAUUGUCGCUUAUAUUUUUUUCACUUUUUGUGUGUCUAAAUGCGGCGAAACUUGAGAAAGGAUGGGAGGAUGUUUUCGGAAACAACCCUUCAUCAACCCUUCCCGUCCACAAGGUCGGCAACAAAAAUUACGUCGUUGUUACU
rnacentral:lncRNA from 1 species